AGUGAACGCUGGCGGUAGGCCUAACACAUGCAAGUCGAACGGCAGCACGGUAAGAGCUUGCUCUUACGGGUGGCGAGUGGCGGACGGGUGAGGAAUACAUCGGAAUCUACUUUUUCGUGGGGGAUAACGUAGGGAAACUUACGCUAGUACCGCAUACGACCUACGGGUGAAAGCAGGGGAUCUUCGGACCUUGCGCGAUUGAAUGAGCCGAUGUCGGAUUAGCUAGUUGGCGGGGUAAAGGCCCACCAAGGCGACGAUCCGUAGCUGGUCUGAGAGGAUGAUCAGCCACACUGGAACUGAGACACGGUCCAGACUCCUACGGGAGGCAGCAGUGGGGAAUAUUGGACAAUGGGCGCAAGCCUGAUCCAGCCAUACCGCGUGGGUGAAGAAGGCCUUCGGGUUGUAAAGCCCUUUUGUUGGGAAAGAAAAGCAGCAGGUUAAUACCCCGCUGUUCUGACGGUACCCAAAGAAUAAGCACCGGCUAACUUCGUG
rnacentral:rRNA from 1 species